UUUGUACUCCCUCCGUCCAACAAAUGAUGUCUCAACUUUGACUAAAUUUGAAUGCAUCUAUACACUAAGUCAUGUGUAGAUACAUCCAAAUUUUGACAAACUUAAGACAUCUUUUGUUGGACGGAGAGAGUAGUAA
rnacentral:pre_miRNA from 1 species